rnacentral:rRNA from 1 species
UACGUAGGCGGGAAAUUAAGUCAGUAGUGAAAUCCCACAGCUUAACUGUGGAACUGUUAUUGAUACUGGUUUUCUUGAAUAUAGUUGAGGUAGGCGGAAUGUGUAAUGUAGCGGUGAAAUGCUUGGAUAUUACACAGAACACCGAUUGCGAAGGCAGCUUACUAAGCUAUGAUUGACGCUGAGGUACGAAAGCGUGGGGAGCGAACAGGAUUAGAUACCCUGGUAGUCC